rnacentral:lncRNA from 1 species
UCAUCUCAUUGGACCACAACACUCUUUCACACCCUCAAAUCCAUAGCAGUUGUGGGUUACUCUCUCUCAUAUCCCCUCUCUAAUUCUGCAAUUUUUUUUGUUCCAUAUACAUAUUCAAUUUGGUUGGCUUGAAUUUUUUACUCGUUAUGAAGCAAAUUGUUGGGCAAAUUUGGUUGGCUUGAUUUUUUAAUUCUCAACUGGGCAAAUUUUGUUGGCAUGAUUUCUUGAUUCUUGAUUAUUGUUUUAACUAGGGGAAUUUGGUUUGUUUUAACUAGGGAAAUUUGGUUGGCGAUUUGUUGCAAAUUUAGUUGGCUUGAAUUUUUCACUGGUGAUGAAGCAAAUUAUUGGGCAAAUUUGGUUGGCUUGAUUUUGUCAUUCUCAACUGGGCAAAUUUUGUUGGCAUGAUUUCUUGAUUGCUGAUUAUUUUUUUAUCUAGGCAGAUUUGGUUUGUUUUAUCUGGGCAAAUUUGGUUGGCGAUUUGUUGAGUUUUGAUUAUUGUCAUAAAUUCAUAAUCAGAACAAAGUUUCUACGGCUGCUGUGGAUUUGAGGGGUGAAAGAGCAACCGACGGCCGCUGGAUUUGGAGGGGAGAUUGAGAGAAAAUAACCCACGGCUGCUCGAUCUGGAGGGGAGAGGAAAUGGAUUCGAUGGGGAGAUUUUAUGUCGUUGAGGGAGAGAACGAGAGAGCGCGUGUGUAUUGCAGGUGUCAAAAUUAUCAAUUCACAGUGACUAUUUAUAUUUAUUUCAAAAUGCAUCCUUCGGUGCUAU